GCGGCUGCCUGAGGGCGGCAGGCUCAUGGCGCCGGCGUCGCGGUUGCUCGCGCUCUGGGCCCUGGCGGCUGUGGCUGUACCCGGCUCCGGGGCGGAGGGCGACGGCGGGUGGUGAGCGGCCCGGGAGGGGCCGGGCGGUGGGUCACGUGCGGCGGGCGGGGCGCGGGCUGACCCAGCUGUGCCCGCAGGCGCCCGGGCGGGCCGGGGGCCGUGGCGGAGGAGGAGCGCUGCACGGUGGAGCGUCGGGCCGACCUCACCUACGCGGAGUUCGUGCAGCAGUACGCCUUCGUCAGGCCCGUCAUCCUGCAGGGACUCACGGACAACUCGGUGAGCGCGUGCCCGUCCGUCCCCGGCCACUCUCGCCCGUGCUGGGCCCGGCCACUAAGUCCCCUCCCCGCCCCCGCAGAGGUUCCGGGCCCUGUGCUCCCGCGAAAGGUUGCUGGCUUCGUUUGGGGACAGAGUGGUCCGGCUGAGCACCGCCAACACCUACUCCUACCACAAAGUGGACUUGCCCUUCCAGGAGUAUGUGGAGCAGCUGCUGCACCCCCAGGACCCCACCUCCCUGGGCAAUGGUGAGUCAGCCCUAGGCGGCGGUAGGGGGUGGGGACGCUUGGAGUCUCCAGGUGCCAGGAUCCCUGUCCCCACCGUCUCUGUUGGCAGACACCCUGUACUUCUUCGGGGACAACAACUUCACCGAGUGGGCCUCUCUCUUUCGGCACUACUCCCCACCCCCAUUUGGCCUGCUGGGAACCGCUCCAGCUUACAGCUUUGGAAUCGCAGGAGCUGGCUCGGGGGUGCCCUUCCACUGGCAUGGGCCCGGGUACUCAGAAGUGAUCUACGGUCGUAAGGUCAGCACGGGGUGGGGGUUGAGGCUUGGGGCUCGCUGACCAAAACGGGCAAGGGUGACACUGCUGCUCAUGCCCCCAGCGCUGGUUCCUUUACCCACCUGAGAAGACGCCAGAGUUCCACCCCAACAAGACCACGCUGGCCUGGCUCCGGGACACAUACCCAGCCCUGCCACCGUCUGCACGGCCCCUGGAGUGUACCAUCUGGGCUGGUGCUGUACUUCCCCGACCGCUGGUGGCAUGCUACGCUCAACCUUGACACCAGCGUCUUCAUCUCCACCUUCCUCGGCUAGCCAAAACAGCUGGCAGGACUACCUGUCACACACCAGCAUGUCCCACCUCGUGCUCACGGAUUUUAUUACACAGAUAGUGGCGGCAGUGGCCUCAGCCCAGCCCACCCUCACCUGCUUUUCCAGCCCACAAAGGGGGACGAUCACGGCCCAGCAAAAGCGAUGCUGAGAGAGGGAACAGUCCAGAGUCCAACAGCAGAACUUACUUGGGGGAAGGGGUCGGGGUGGCCAAGAAACAUAAACUAUGUAUAGGGGCCAGGGGCUUCUGCCCAGGGCUCCCCUGGACCAGGAUGCCAGGUAGGGCAGGGAACCUCAGUAGUCCUCCACCCAGCCAUUCUCAGAGAUGAAUGCGUCAAUAACCUCCUUCAUAGCCAAGUUGGGGAUGAGCUGCUCCUGGGUCAGGGGGCUCCGGGUCACGGGGUCAAAAUGACCCACACGCUGCAGUGACAAGAAGGGCAGAGGGCAGUCAUGGGGCCCAGGACCAUGCCACUGGCCCUGCUCCCCCAGCCGCAGCCUCACCUGCAGGUGCUCCUCGAUGUCCUUGCGGUCGUAGGUGAUGCCACUGGGCGUGAUGCACGGCUCCCGCAUCAGCUCAAAGCUGAUCUUGCCACACAGGUAGUCGGGGAUGUCUCGCUUCUGGUGGCACAGAGGCACACGGUCAGAGGCUGAAAAGGGGCACUGCACGAGCACCUGCCAGCCAUCGGCAGCAAGCGACACACACUCACCUUCCUCUUCUCAUCCACCUGAGAAAAGAGCUCGUCCAUGUCCGCCAUGUACUUGUCCUGUGAAGAGUUGAGUGCUGCGCUUGGGGGAGACACCCCACCUCCCUCCUCCAUGGGGCACAGAUCCAACACAAGGCGGGGAUGCUCCCACGCCACGUGCACACACACAGACCCACAUGUGGGUGGGGGGCACCCUCACGUGCUUGGCCUCAAUGCAGGCCUGCUGGGCCCGGACGUGGCUGUCGUCCUCAUCACCCUCGUGGUUUCGCUGGCACUCUUCCAGCUCCCUGGGGGUUGACCAGGAGCCGGUCAGAGAUGGACCUGGCCAGAUGUCUGACCACACCCCAAUCUCAGGGCUAACAUCCACACUUCUUCCCCACAUUU
rnacentral:sRNA from 1 species